GUAGGUGGCAAGCGUUGUCCGGAAUUAUUGGGCGUAAAGCGCGCGCAGGCGGGGUUCGUUUAAGUCUGAUGUGAAAGCCCACGGGCUCAACCGUGGAGGGUCGUUGGAAACUGGAGAACUUGAGUACAGAAGAGGAAAGCGGAAUUCCACGUGUAGCGGUGAAAUGCGUAGAGAUGUGGAGGAACACCAGUGGCGAAGGCGGCUUUCUGGUCUGUAACUGACGCUGAGGCGCGAAAGCGUGGGGAGCAAACAGGAUUAGAUACCCUGGUAGUCCACGCCGUAAACGAUGAGUGCUAAGUGUUAGGGGGUUUCCGCCCCUUAGUGCUGCAGCUAACGCAUUAAGCACUCCGCCUGGGGAGUACGGCCGCAAGGCUG
rnacentral:rRNA from 1 species